AUUGAACGCUGGCGGCAUGCUUUACACAUGCAAGUCGAACGGUAACAGGGAGCUUGCUCCGCUGACGAGUGGCGAACGGGUGAGUAAUGCAUCGGAACGUACCCAGUCGUGGGGGAUAACGUAGCGAAAGUUACGCUAAUACCGCAUGCGCCCUUCGGGGGAAAGCCGGGGACCUUCGGGCCUGGCGCGAUUGGAUGAGCCCAUGUCGGAUUAGCUAGUUGGCGGGGUAAUGGCCCACCAAGGCGACGAUCCGUAGCUGGUCUGAGAGGAUGAUCAGCCACACUGGAACUGAGACACGGUCCAGACUCCUACGGGAGGCAGCAGUAGGGAAUAUUGCGCAAUGGGGGCAACCCUGACGCAGCAACGCCGCGUGAGUGAGGAAGGUUUUCGGACCGUAAAGCUCUGUCGAGCGGGAAGAAAUGUAUCAUGGCUAAUAUCCAUGAUACUUGACGGUACCGCUAAAGGAAGCACCGGCUAACUCCGUGCCAGC
rnacentral:rRNA from 1 species